CUUAAGCUGCUGCGGAAAGGCGCGCUCGGUUUGCGGGCCCGGCCCUGGGGGCGCUCUGGGCCCUCUCUGGAGUGGGCGUGCCUGGGGGAGCGUGGAGUCCGUAUUGGGAGAACCCGGGGACGGCUAGGAAAAGUGCUGAAGUCUCAUAUGGUGAAACUUCCAGGGUUUAAUUUCUCUGGGAAGGAAAGGAGCUCAGAGUUCUAUACAGAAAAUUCUUCAGCUAGAAGGAUGUCAGAAAGAUGGGUUUCCAAAGCCAACCGUCUCCUGUACCAUGUGGAUCUCUGCAAGCAGAGCCUCAUCUUUCAAUUUCAGCUGCAUAAGAGGAAGGAAGGGAAGAACACGUCAUACAUGAUAUACCUAUGUGUAGACCCCUCAUUUGCAAGGCCACAGCUUAACAACAUAAUUCUUUGGGAUGGGAUUCAUUCUUCCUAUAUCCCCUAUUUCAUGGUAACUCCAUUAAAAGACCUCAGAAUAUUGUACUGGUUACAUAGAUGUGUUCACCUUGUGAAAAUCCAUCAAAUGAUAUGAGCACUCAUAAUUUGUACACUUUUUUGUAAAAUAACUUUAAUAAAGUUUAUUUUUAAGAGUU